rnacentral:rRNA from 1 species
UACGUAGGGGGCAAGCGUUGUCCGGAUUUAUUGGGCGUAAAGAGCGUGUAGGCGGCCAUGUAGGUCCGUUGUGAAAACUCGAGGCUCAACCUCGAGACGCCGAUGGAAACCAUGUGGCUAGAGUCCGGAAGAGGAGAGUGGAAUUCCUGGUGUAGCGGUGAAAUGCGCAGAUAUCGUAAGGAAGACCAGUGGCGAAGGCGGGUCUCUGGACAGUUCCUGACGCUGAGGCACGAAGGCCAGGGGAGCAAACGGG